UGGGGAAUAUUGCGCAAUGGGCGAAAGCCUGACGCAGCGACGCCGCGUGAGGGAUGAAGGUUUGCGGAUCGUAAACCUCUGUCAGAAGGGAAGAAACCGCACUGUGCUAAUCAGCAGUGCCUUGACGGUACCUUCAAAGGAAGCACCGGCUAACUCCGUGCCAGCAGCCGCGGUAAUACGGAGGGUGCAAGCGUUAAUCGGAAUUACUGGGCGUAAAGCGCACGUAGGCUGCUUUGUAAGUCAGGGGUGAAAUCCCACGGCUCAACCGUGGAACUGCCUUUGAUACUGCUUAGCUUGAAUCCGGGAGAGGGUGGCGGAAUUCCAGGUGUAGGAGUGAAAUCCGUAGAUAUCUGGAGGAACAUCAGUGGCGAAGGCGGCCACCUGGACCCGUAUUGACGCUGAGGUGCGAAAGCGUGGGGAGCAAACAGG
rnacentral:rRNA from 1 species